CAAGGCUCACAGUAAACUAAGAUUUGGGCAGCUAUUCCUUCUAAACCAUGUAUAAAGAAACUCCUGAGAAGUUGAGUCUAUACCACUCACCGAGACUGUUUCCAAUCUACGUACGGAAUCAUUUAACAAAGUAUAUAAAGUUUAUGUCCACCUAGACUUUAUGUUCUUCAGUCCAUGACCGUGAGGGGCCAUAACAAUAAAAUCCCUUCUUGAGUGUUUUAAACUUCAAAUUGUAGUGCUCCUCCACUUCCUUUGUUAGGCUUAUCCCAAGGGGCUGGUUAGGUGCUUUACUUUACUAGAAUGUUGUUUGAUUCUUUGAUAGUUUUAUACAUUUAAUGAUGUGUCUUGGUCAUAUCUAUCCUAACUCCUCCGUCCUGUUUUAUGGCAUCCUAACAUGCCCAGCUCCCUACUUCUUCUUUUCAACUCACUGUGUCCCCUUAGUGCUGAGUGGGAAUAUUAACUUUCUGACUUGCUCUCCUGCAUCGAUGAUUUUUACCCUCUCUUAAAAAGUGUUCUCUUGGCCCCUUGGUCUUGCAAACUUUAUAUGCCCCAGUACAGGGGAAACACUAGGGCCAAGAAGUGGGAGUGGAUGGGUAGGGAAGCAGGGGGCCACGGGGAGGAUAUAGGGGACUUUUGGGAUAGCAUUUGAAAUGUAAAUGAAGUAAAUACCUAAUAAAAAAUUGGAAAAAAAAAUGUUCUCUUGGGAGGGGGUUAACGUGGCUGGCCCACUGAGAGCUGAGUACCCAGUAGUUCUUAGUCUUUUGUAGCCUUCUGAGUUCCACAGGUCCUUCACCUUAUACACUCAAUCUAAGAAUCAGCAUUGCUUGCCACUGUUGAUUUUGUAGUGUUUGUUUUAACUUCCUCUCUUGCUUAGUGUUAUUGUAGCAAGAUUUAUUCUUUCCUGAGGCCUUAGAGAUUUGUUUCUUUUUCUUCAGUCUGAAAUAUUCCUUCAAUUAUCUUCUGUAGAGCUGGCCUGUGGUCAGAAAUUCCUUUUUACAUAAGAAAAUCAAGAAGGAAGACCAAUGCGUGGAUACUUCAUUCCUCCCUAGAAAAGGGAAUAAAAUACUCCUAGAAGCAGUUACAGAGACAAAGUUUGGAGAUAAGACAAAAGGAUGGACCAUCCGGAGACUGUCCCACCCAGGGGUCCAUCCCAUAAUCAGCCACCAAAUGCAGACACUAUUGCAUAUGCCAGCAAGAUUUUGCUGAAAGGACCCUGAUAUAGCUGUCUCCUGAGAGGCUAUGCCAGUGCCUGGCAAAUACAGAAGUGGAUGCUCACAGUCAUCUAUAAGAUGGAACACAGGGCCCCCAAUGUAGGAGCUAGAGAAAGUACCCAAGAGCUGAAGAGGUCUGCAACCCUAUAGGUGGAACAACAAUAUGAACUAAUCAGUACCCUCAGAACUCGUGUCUCUUGCUGCAUAUGUAGCAGAAGAUGGCCUAGUUGGCCAUCAUUGGGAAGAGAGACCCCUUGGUCAAGCAAACUUCAUAUGCCCACUACAGGGGAACGGCAGGGCCAAGAAGUGGGAGUGAGUGGGUAGGGGAGCAGGGCAGGGGGAAAGGUGUAGGGGACUUUUGGGAUAGCAUUUGAAAUGUAAAUGAAGAGAUUGUCUAAUAAAAAUAUUAAAGAAAUUCCUUUUUACCAAGGAAUUUGUUAAUUUUCCAUUAGUUGUGACAUAGUUUGUGACAUUCUCGCUAGAGAAUGCUGAGUUGGCAGUGUUGUUUUGUUUUUUGGAAAUCUACCUUUAUUUUGUUGCAUUGUGGGGAGGGAGGGCAUACCUGCCACAGGCUGUGUAGAGGUCAGAGGACAACGGGGUAGAGUGGGUUCUCCCCUCCACUCUCUGGUCCCUGGGGUCAGGUUCUCAGGCUUCCCUCUAGAGCCACACCCCUGUCCCAUUCUUCACUUUGCCUUUGGAUUGUUUGACUACAGUACGGCAGGUCUUCUCUGGCCAUGUGGGUUUGGGUUCUAGAUGCCUCUUGUGUUUGUUUCUUCUACACUUGAAAACAUUUUUGCUAUAAUUUUAUUGAAUAGCUUCCCAGUUUUUACUUUUAUCUCUGCCUCUUCUUUAAUUUCAUGGGCUCUUGAGUUUCUCUGCCAUCAAUUUCUUUUAUUAUUAUUAAUUUUUAUUAAUUAUUUACAUUUCAAACGUUGCCUUCCCCCCCCCCCCCUUUCCUGGUCCCUCCUCCAUGAGUUCUUCACCCCAUCCCUUUCCCCUUUGCUUCUGAGAGGGUGCUCACUCCCACCUUCCCUGGGGCAUCAAGUUUGUACAAGAUUAAGCACAUCCUUUCCCACAGAGGCCAGAGAAAGCAGUCUUCUGCUACACAUGUAGUGGAGCCACAGAUCAGCCAUGUAUGCUCAUUGCUUGGUGGCUUAGUCUGGGAGCUCCCAGUGGUCUGGGUUAGUUGACACUGUUGUUCUUCCUAGGGGGGUUGCAGUCCCCUUCAGCUCCUUCAGUCCUUCUAACUCUUCCAUAUGGGUCCCUGGUUGGCUGUAAGUAUCUUUUAAUGGUUGGCUGUAAGUAUCUUCAUCUGUCUCAGUUAGCUGCUGGUAUAGCCUCUCAGAGGACAGCCAUGCUGGGCUCCUAUCUGCAAACACAGCAGUAAUAGUGUUGGUGUUUGGUGCCUUUACAUAGGAUAGAUUGCAAAUUGGGCCCAUCUCUGGAUGACCUUUCUUUCGGUAUCUGCUCCAUUUUUGUCUCUGCAUUUCCAUUAGACAGGAGCAAUUCUGGGUCAAAAACUUUGAAGAUAGUUGGAUGGCACCAUGCCUCAAAUGGGGGCCAUGCCUAUCUACUGGAGGUGGUCUUUUUAGGUUCCAUCUCCCCACUGUUGGGCAUUUCUGCUAAGGUCAUCGUCAUUGGAUCCAGUGAGCCUCUCACAUCCCUGGUGUCUGGGACUUUCUAGAGGUCCCCCCCCCCCCAACCCUGCCCUCUACCCCAUACUGCUGCAUAUUUCUAUUCAUUCUCCUGGCCCACUGGGCUUCUCUCCUGUCUUCCCCCAUACCUGAUCCUGCCUGAAGGUCUCAGCAUUUACCAUUUUUGCUAUGGAUAUAGAUGCACUGGACUCGCGCUGUCUGUGCUUAUCACAGAGUCAUUAACCUGGGUCUCACAUUUCUUAUAUUAUUCUUUGGGAUUUCUACAUGUUCAUUGGUUUGCGUUUUUUUUUUUUUUUUUUUAUUAGAUGUGUCCUUUCAGUUGAAGUAUUUGCCGUGUUUGAGUGAGACUUUAGUGUGGUAGUAUUGUGUAGUUUAGAAAAUAAUACCUCAGACCUGAGCUCAAAGUGCCUGGUAUAAGCUCCCUGUGUAAGCUCUGUGUAGUUUUAACUGCAGAAUCAACCACAGCAGUUUGAUGUUACUACUAUGUAAUUGUCAUACUAUCCAGUAAUCCUUCGAUUUCAGUAGUUGUGGGAGAAUAAACAAGUAUAGAGUGGUGUGUGCUCAGAUUUUACUAAGAUUAGAAGUGGAAGGGGAGCAGAGUGGAUCAGAAUAAAGGUUAAGGAUCUGAAAAGAGCUCGGUGGUUAAGAGUGUGUAUUGCUUUCGGAGAGGACCAUAAUUCAGUUCUCAGCAUGUUUGUCAAGUGGCUCACUACUAACUCCACAUCCAGAAAGUAUUCUCUAGCUUCCUUGGACACCUAUCUAUAUCCUCAUGCAUGUACCCAUAACCCAUAUUCACAUAG
rnacentral:lncRNA from 1 species